rnacentral:rRNA from 1 species
UACGUAGGGGGCAAGCGUUAUCCGGAUUUACUGGGUGUAAAGGGAGCGUAGACGGUUAUGCAAGUCUGGAGUGAAAGCCCGGGGCUCAACCCCGGGACUGCUUUGGAAACUGUAAAACUGGAGUGCAGGAGAGGCAGGCGGAAUUCCUAGUGUAGCGGUGAAAUGCGUAGAUAUUAGGAGGAACACCAGUGGCGAAGGCGGCCUGCUGGACUGUAACUGACGUUGAGGCUCGAAGGCGUGGGGAGCAAACAGG